UACGUAGGUGACAAGCGUUGUCCGGAUUUACUGGGCGUAAAGAGCGCGCAGGCGGUCGAUCAAGUCGAGUGUGAAAGCCCCCGGCUCAACUGGGGAGGGUCAUUUGAUACUGAUCGACUCGAAGGCAGGAGAGGGUAGUGGAAUUCCCGGUGUAGUGGUGAAAUGCGUAGAUAUCGGGAGGAACACCAGUGGCGAAGGCGACUACCUGGCCUGUUCUUGACGCUGAGGCGCGAAAGCUAGGGGAGCAAACGGG
rnacentral:rRNA from 1 species